GACGAACGCUGGCGGCGUGCUUAACACAUGCAAGUCGAGCGGUAAGGCCCUUCGGGGUACACGAGCGGCGAACGGGUGAGUAACACGUGGGUGAUCUGCCUCGCACUUCGGGAUAAGCCUGGGAAACUGGGUCUAAUACCGGAUAUGACCUGCUGUCGCAUGGCGGUGGGUGGAAAGAUUUAUCGGUGCGAGAUGGGCCCGCGGCCUAUCAGCUUGUUGGUGGGGUAAUGGCCUACCAAGGCGACGACGGGUAGCCGGCCUGAGAGGGCGACCGGCCACACUGGGACUGAGACACGGCCCAGACUCCUACGGGAGGCAGCAGUGGGGAAUAUUGCACAAUGGGCGAAAGCCUGAUGCAGCGACGCCGCGUGAGGGAUGACGGCCUUCGGGUUGUAAACCUCUUUCGACAGGGACGAAGCGUAAGUGACGGUACCUGUAGAAGAAGCACCGGCCAACUACGUGCCAGCAGCCGCGGUAAUACGUAGGGUGCGAGCGUUGUCCGGAAUUACUGGGCGUAAAGAGCUUGUAGGCGGUUUGUCGCGUCGUCCGUGAAAACUUGGGGCUCAACCCCAAGCUUGCGGGCGAUACGGGCAGACUUGAGUACUGCAGGGGAGACUGGAAUUCCUGGUGUAGCGGUGAAAUGCGCAGAUAUCAGGAGGAACACCGGUGGCGAAGGCGGGUCUCUGGGCAGUAACUGACGCUGAGAAGCGAAAGCGUGGGUAGCGAACAGGAUUAGAUACCCUGGUAGUCCACGCCGUAAACGGUGGGUACUAGGUGUGGGUUUCCUUCCACGGGAUCCGUGCCGUAGCUAACGCAUUAAGUACCCCGCCUGGGGAGUACGGCCGCAAGGUUAAAACUCAAAGGAAUUGACGGGGGCCCGCACAAGCGGCGGAGCAUGUGGAUUAAUUCGAUGCAACGCGAAGAACCUUACCUGGGUUUGACAUACACCGGAAACCUGCAGAGAUGUAGGCCCCCUUGUGGUCGGUGUACAGGUGGUGCAUGGCUGUCGUCAGCUCGUGUCGUGAGAUGUUGGGUUAAGUCCCGCAACGAGCGCAACCCUUAUCUUAUGUUGCCAGCGCGUAAUGGCGGGGACUCGUGAGAGACUGCCGGGGUCAACUCGGAGGAAGGUGGGGACGACGUCAAGUCAUCAUGCCCCUUAUGUCCAGGGCUUCACACAUGCUACAAUGGCCGGUACAGAGGGCUGCGAUACCGUGAGGUGGAGCGAAUCCCUUAAAGCCGGUCUCAGUUCGGAUCGGGGUCUGCAACUCGACCCCGUGAAGUUGGAGUCGCUAGUAAUCGCAGAUCAGCAACGCUGCGGUGAAUACGUUCCCGGGCCUUGUA
rnacentral:rRNA from 1 species